rnacentral:rRNA from 1 species
AUUGAACGCUGGCGGCAGGCCUAACACAUGCAAGUCGAACGAGUGGCGGACGGGUGAGUAAUGUCUGGGAAACUGCCUGAUGGAGGGGGAUAACUACUGGAAACGGUCGCUAAUACCGCAUACCAUCAGAUGUGCCCAGAUGGGAUUAGCUAGUUGGUGGGGUAACGGCUCACCAGGGCGACGAUCCCUAGCUGGUCUGAGAGGAUGACCAGCCACACUGGAACUGAGACACGGUCCAGAGUCCGACGGGAGUCUGCAGUUGGGGAUAUUGCACAAUGGGCGCAAGCCUGAUGCAGCCAUGCCGCGUGUAUGAAGAAGGCCUUCGGGUUGAAAAGUACUGGCAGCGGGGAUGCGUUACCCGCAGAAGAAGCAACGACUAACUCCGUGCCAGCAGCCGCGGUAAUUC